UGGGGAAUAUUGCACAAUGGGCGCAAGCCUGAUGCAGCAACGCCGCGUGAGGGAUGACGGCCUUCGGGUUGUAAACCUCUUUUAGUAGGGAAGAAGCGAAAGUGACGGUACCUGCAGAAAAAGCACCGGCUAACUACGUGCCAGCAGCCGCGGUAAUACGUAGGGUGCGAGCGUUGUCCGGAAUUAUUGGGCGUAAAGAGCUCGUAGGCGGUCUGUCGCGUCUGCUGUGAAAACCCGAGGCUCAACCUCGGGCCUGCAGUGGGUACGGGCAGACUAGAGUGCGGUAGGGGAGAAUGGAAUUCCUGGUGUAGCGGUGGAAUGCGCAGAUAUCAGGAGGAACACCGAUGGCGAAGGCAGUUCUCUGGGCCGUAACUGACGCUGAGGAGCGAAAGCGUGGGGAGCGAACAGGAUUAGAUACCCUGGUAGUCCACGCCGUAAACGUUGGGCGCUAGAUGUGGGGACCAUUCCACGGUUUCCGUGUCGCAGCUAACGCAUU
rnacentral:rRNA from 1 species